AUGCUACUGCCUUGGUUUUUUGUUUUCUCCAGGACUCCAGGUAAAGGUGGAGUUCUGUUUUGAGCCUAAUGGUGUUGUUCCUGUUUGUUUAUGGAGAUGCUGUAUGCAAGCAGGUCUGCCAUUACCCUAAUCCUGUAACAAGGUAAACAAAAUCUAUUGACCUAUUGAAAGAUGGAAAAGAUCAUUUCGUUAAAGCUUUCAUUUCAAAACCACAUUAUUUUGAAUCUUUAUAAUAGUUUGGUUCACUCUUUACCUUAGUGAGAGCGCAUCGAUCAGUAUUCUAUCAGGAAUUAGAUAAUAAAAAGCUUUAUUGAUUAGCUAUUUCUUAUUCCGCUUUAUGCGAUUCUACUAUAUUUGUGCCCAAAUUGUUACGGUCGCAAGUUUGAAUGAAUUCUAUAGUUACUAUACUAGAGAAGAAUAGAGCUUGAAGAAUGGUUUGGGUUGCUUUACUUGGGACUUUUAGACAUUUUUGUCAUGCCAAUUGAAGCUCUUUACUACAUUUCAAAAAAAGGUGAAGAUCCUCUUACUCUUUGUAUUGUGUAUAAGAGUCUUUAGACAUAAGUUCAAUAUAAAUUUCAUUUGCUUCUCUUUUUAAAUCUGUUUUUUUUCUUUUUUUCUUUUCAUGUCUAACAUUGCAGCAGACUUGAACAGAACUAUAUUUGUUAUAUUGUUGCCUAGCGUGAGUGUUUUGGAAUUUUAA
rnacentral:lncRNA from 1 species